rnacentral:rRNA from 1 species
CCUACGGGAGGCAGCAGUGGGGAAUAUUGCACAAUGGGGGAAACCCUGAUGCAGCGACGCCGCGUGAGUGAAGAAGUCUUUCGGUAUGUAAAGCUCUAUCAGCAGGGAAGAAGAAAGACGGUACCUGACUAAGAAGCCCCGGCUAACUACGUGCCAGCAGCCGCGGGAAUACGUAGGGGGCCAGCGGUAUCCGGAUUUACUGGGUGUAAUGGGGGCGUAGACGGCUGUGCAAGUCUGAAGUGAAAGCCCAGGGCUCAACCCUGGGACUGCUUUGGAAACUGUGGAGCUAGAGUGCUGGAGAGGUAAGUGGAAUGCCUAGUGUAGCGGUGAAAUGCGUAGAUAUUAGGAGGAACACCAGUGGCGAAGGCGGCAUACUGGACAGUAACUGACGUUGAGGCACGAAAGCGUGGGGAGCAAACAGGAUUAGAUACCCCAGUAGUC